rnacentral:miRNA from 1 species
AAGCCUCUGUCCCCACCCCAG